AGAGUUUGAUCAUGGCUCAGAUUGAACGCUGGCGGCAGGCCUAACACAUGCAAGUCGAACGGUAACAGGAAGCAGCUUGCUGCUUUGCUGACGAGUGGCGGACGGGUGAGUAAUGUCUGGGAAACUGCCUGAUGGAGGGGGAUAACUACUGGAAACGGUGGCUAAUACCGCAUAACGUCGCAAGACCAAAGAGGGGGACCUUCGGGCCUCUUGCCAUCAGAUGUGCCCAGAUGGGAUUAGCUGGUUGGUGAGGUAACGGCUCACCAAGGCGACGAUCCCUAGCUGGUCUGAGAGGAUGACCAGCCACACUGGAACUGAGACACGGUCCAGACUCCUACGGGAGGCAGCAGUGGGGAAUAUUGCACAAUGGGCGCAAGCCUGAUGCAGCCAUGCCGCGUGUAUGAAGAAGGCCUUCGGGUUGUAAAGUACUUUCAGCGGGGAGGAAGGUGUUGUGGUUAAUAACCGCAGCAAUUGACGUUACCCGCAGAAGAAGCACCGGCUAACUCCGUGCCAGCAGCCGCGGUAAUACGGAGGGUGCAAGCGUUAAUCGGAAUUACUGGGCGUAAAGCGCACGCAGGCGGUCUGUCAAGUCGGAUGUGAAAUCCCCGGGCUCAACCUGGGAACUGCAUUCGAAACUGGCAGGCUUGAGUCUUGUAGAGGGGGGUAGAAUUCCAGGUGUAGCGGUGAAAUGCGUAGAGAUCUGGAGGAAUACCGGUGGCGAAGGCGGCCCCCUGGACAAAGACUGACGCUCAGGUGCGAAAGCGUGGGGAGCAAACAGGAUUAGAUACCCUGGUAGUCCACGCCGUAAACGAUGUCUACUUGGAGGUUGUGCCCUUGAGGCGUGGCUUCCGGAGCUAACGCGUUAAGUAGACCGCCUGGGGAGUACGGCCGCAAGGUUAAAACUCAAAUGAAUUGACGGGGGCCCGCACAAGCGGUGGAGCAUGUGGUUUAAUUCGAUGCAACGCGAAGAACCUUACCUGGUCUUGACAUCCACGGAAGAAUUCAGAGAUGGAUUUGUGCCUUCGGGAACCGUGAGACAGGUGCUGCAUGGCUGUCGUCAGCUCGUGUUGUGAAAUGUUGGGUUAAGUCCCGCAACGAGCGCAACCCUUAUCCUUUGUUGCCAGCGGUUAGGCCGGGAACUCAAAGGAGACUGCCAGUGAUAAACUGGAGGAAGGUGGGGAUGACGUCAAGUCAUCAUGGCCCUUACGACCAGGGCUACACACGUGCUACAAUGGCGCAUACAAAGAGAAGCGACCUCGCGAGAGCAAGCGGACCUCAUAAAGUGCGUCGUAGUCCGGAUUGGAGUCUGCAACUCGACUCCAUGAAGUCGGAAUCGCUAGUAAUCGUGGAUCAGAAUGCCACGGUGAAUACGUUCCCGGGCCUUGUACACACCGCCCGUCACACCAUGGGAGUGGGUUGCAAAAGAAGUAGGUAGCUUAACCUUCGGGAGGGCGCUUACCACUUUGUGAUUCAUGACUGGGGUGAAGUCGUAACAAGGUAACCGUAGGGGAACCUGCGGUUG
rnacentral:rRNA from 1 species